ACGAGGGGAAGAAGAAGAUACUUACGCGGUGCAGGGAGCAGUGGGACCGAGCCUCUCUCUCUCUCUCUCUCUCUCUCUCUCUAUCUCUCUCUCUCUUUUUUUUCCCCCCGGCAGAGAGAGGAAAACACGCGCGCGCACACACGGUGAUAUCUUGCGGGUGAUGAAUAUGAUAAUUGGACAAGGGACGCUAUUCACAGAUCAUCAUCAGCCAGAGGUGACUUCUGUUGCUUGCAGCUCAGAAUCCUAGAUGUUUCUGGUGGCACUGAAGAGCCUCUGCUGAAGCUCUAUACCAUUUGCCAUUUACAAAGGGAAAUGAAAUAAUAACGCUGACCAUUUGUGGAGCACAUUCUGUCUGGAGGCAAAGGAUGCCAAGAUGGGAAAGCCACAUAAUGGAAGGAUCCUGGAUUUCAGAGCUGUCACUUGGAGGAGGGGCACCCAGUGAAGGUGUCUUAUCUAACCCACACCAUAUCUUCAUGAAGUGGCCAUAUGGAUUUGAUCCCUAUCCUUCAGAGGUGCUCAGCCUAAGGGAACACGGAUAGUAGAUUAAGCACUGACCAGGGGUAUAAAUCCUGCCUUCUCUCAGCCUUACAGAGGAAGAAAACCCUUUCCAAGUUUCCUGUGAUAUUGGGUUUAUGCCCAAUUCUAGUUUAGCCUUUCUCUUUACUCAUUGGACUCAGAGCCAGCCUUGACAAUGUGCUGUUGGCAACCU
rnacentral:antisense_RNA from 1 species